rnacentral:rRNA from 1 species
AGCGAACGCUGGCGGCAGGCCUAACACAUGCAAGUCGAACGGAUCCUUCGGGUUUAGCGGCGGACGGGUGAGUAACACGUGGGAACGUGCCCUUUGGUUCGGAACAACUCAGGGAAACUUGAGCUAAUACCGGAUGUGCCCUUCGGGGGAAAGAUUUAUCGCCAUUGGAGCGGCCCGCGUCUGAUUAGCUAGUUGGUGAGGUAAAGGCUCACCAAGGCGACGAUCAGUAGCUGGUUUGAGAGGAUGAUCAGCCACAUUGGGACUGAGACACGGCCCAAACUCCUACGGGAGGCAGCAGUGGGGAAUCUUGCGCAAUGGGCGAAAGCCUGACGCAGCCAUGCCGCGUGAAUGAUGAAGGUCUUAGGAUUGUAAAAUUCUUUCACCGGGGACGAUAAUGACGGUACCCGGAGAAGAAGCCCCGGCUAACUUCGUGCCAGCCGCCGCCGUAACAC